UGCCCAGCAACUCCUAUCCCUAGCUCCUCGUGGUACCGACCGGAAACUAUGAGCUACCAACCCCGGUGGGAGCUUUGGUCGUAGGCUGACAGGGAAGG
rnacentral:ribozyme from 1 species